CGUGCACACGCACAACAAAAUCCCAGGAUGCAUCAUUGCAUCAGAUCAGAUGACCUCCCAGAAUUCUCCGGGGCUGCUCGCUCAGCCAAGCUCAAGAGGUCUGACAUGCCAAGGGGCCAGCCACAAACAGCACGCCUCAACGUGCAGCCCUGCAUAUCGCUUUGCCCACUCCGCUGCUGACCAAAGAAAGGGCCUCAACUAAAGAGGGAGCUCUGGAGAGGCGCCCUCUCAAUGCGCAAUGGAUAAAAGUCGGCGGUGACUACGAGCGGAGGACAGUCACCGAGCGCGAUGGCGGCGAUGGCUGCCGCUGCCGUCCGCCAGGGACCGCGGCGAGAGCGGCCGUGAUGGGGUUAACGAAGACGCGGACUGGGAUCAAUUUUGGUACCGUUACGAAAGACUGCGGCGCACCGAGCAAGACCAAAACACGGUCAUUGGCUGUGAGUGUACAUCGAAAAGAUUGAGCGAGUUCACCGAUCGUCUGACCCAAAAGAAUUGAAGAUAAAACAAAAUUGAUCGCUUCCUCACGCCGACAUAUCAUGACCGAGGAGUGGACAACAUCUUCCACCUGUUGACGAGACUAAGAGAAUUAUUCGAUGAAACCCCACACAGACUUAGAGACGUGACCAAUAUUCCGCAAAAAAAGGCAACUUCGGUUAAACACCGCUGCUCGCACCCAUGGCACAAAGCCACUGGUCGCUUUCCACUUUUAAAUCUAGAUUGAAAACUCAUUUCUUUUAGAAUUGCUUUUUUGUGUUCAGUUUGUUGUCCUUUCACCCGCACCUCCAAUUAGCACGGUGCGAAAGAAGUUCAACGUACACACACACACUUACAGACACAGGAGGAGGCAUCAGCCCAGGGGCCCCGACGACUUGACUGGCCAAUUGACUCCGCUAAAUGGGACUCAAUCUAAAAACAUACUCUGGUGGCCCAAAUACAAAACAACCCCAUCGCAGGUUGGGGAAGGAAGUGUAGGUGUUGCCCCCCCUCCCCCCCCCCCAUUCUCGUCCAAGGAUAAUUACUUUCGCUUGCGCCAAUUUCAAAUUUGUUGUUUUCUAGAUAAUGAGCGGUCCUGAGCCGUUAUAGGUCAACCAACCGGCGGGUAACGUGAAAUAAAUUAAUGAAUGCACAAAGCAUUCGCGAGUCACGGCAUUGUAAAUGUCGCGCGUUUUAAUUGCGUAUUUGCGCUU